GGGGGGGGGGGGGGGGGGGCCGGGUGGGGGGGAGGUGAGGGGGCGGACGAGGAGCUGGGUUCUCUGAUGUUAGCGGCGGACGGGUGAGUGACACGUGGGUAACUUACCUAUAAGACUGGGCUAACUUCGGGAAACCGGAGCUAAUACCGGAUAGUAUUUUGAACCGCAUGGUUCACAAGUGACAGACGGUCUUGGUUUCACUUAUUGCUGGAUCCACGCUGCCUUAGCUCUUGUGUAAGGUAACGGCUUACCAAGGCAAAUAUGAAUAGCCGACCUGAGAGGGUGAUCGGCCACAAUGGAACUGAGACACGGUCCAGACUCCUACGGGAGGCAGCAGUAGGGAAUCUUCCGCAAUGGGCGAAAGCCUGACGGAGCAACGCCGCGGGAGUGAUGAAGGUCUUCGGAUCGUAAAACUCUGUUAUUAGGGAAGAACAUAUGUGUAAGUAACUGUGCACAUCUUGACGGUACCUAAUCAGAAAGACACGGAUAACUACGUG
rnacentral:rRNA from 1 species